AGAGAUGGCCAUUCUAGUUGAAAAUAGCCUUUCAGGAGGAUGUUGCAUCUUUGAGUGAUGAUAAUCAUCCGCCUUUACUGAUAUCACAGACUUAUGACUAGAUAAAUGGAUCGCUGGAGAACAGCUUCUUGUUUCAUCAGCACGAGCAGAUAAUGGUGAUUGGCUUUCCUUGGCUGUAGGCGAGUCAUCAGCAACAGAAACUAAAGAGCCUUUUGGACUUGAAAGUAAAUUUGGAUUCCAAAGUGAGAUACUUUCUCUGCCAGGGCUGCUUAUGACACUGGCUUCAACAUGAAGUGCAUCAUCUUUAGUUUCAUCCUCAGGGAGACAUGAAUCGUUUCUUUUGCUAAGUUCCACGCACUGAAGGCUAUUAUUAAUGGUGACAUCAAGUAGUUGAUCCUGGCUGCUACUGCUAGUCUUCCAUGAUUUCUCAUGCACAGAAGGAAAAGUUUGGGGAUGCAAUACAGGUAUAUGAACCUCACUUAAAGAAACAGUUUCAGGGGCGUCAUUUUUGGGAUGUUGAUCUAGGAGAGCAUCUUCUUUCUUUGCUUCUGAUAAAGAAAAAUAUGAAAACUCACUGAUCACUUCUGCAAUAUCCUCCAUCAGUACCGCCCCACCUGAGGAUUUUACAUCAGGAAUUGAUUUAGGAUCCCCAUGCUCCACAUAUUCAUAGGAUUCUUCAUUAGUAGCACAGCAUUGAGGCUCAUUGCUGAGGAAAGUUGGCAUCUGAGUCUCAAAACCACAAGCAUUAGUUGUCAACUCUUCACUGGUUAUCACAGA
rnacentral:misc_RNA from 1 species